rnacentral:rRNA from 1 species
UACGAAGGGGGCUAGCGUUGCUCGGAAUUACUGGGCGUAAAGCGCACGUAGGCGGCUUUGUAAGUUAGAGGUGAAAGCCUGGAGCUCAACUCCAGAACUGCCUUUAAGACUGCAUCGCUUGAAUCCAGGAGAGGUGAGUGGAAUUCCGAGUGUAGAGGUGAAAUUCGUAGAUAUUCGGAAGAACACCAGUGGCGAAGGCGGCUCACUGGACUGGUAUUGACGCUGAGGUGCGAAAGCGUGGGGAGCAAACAGGG